CCACAGUUGAGCAUGCGUGUCUCAGUUUCCUGUGAGGGCCCAACACCGCACCUACAGUCGGAUCCUCUGGAUUUAGUUUCACACAGACAUCAUGGAAUCAAAUUUGAUGCCUUUGAAGCUUCCUGCCACCGACACUGAAGUGGAAAUCUCCAGUCUGAGCUUUUUAUGCAUCCUGACUUGUUCCUUCACACACCGACCAAAGACGACCUUCUUGUGAUUUUUCUAUAAAAGCCAGCAGCAGAGUGGAGUGGAUGAGUCCUGUGGGCGGAGGUGUCAGAAGGUGACCCGUUGCACCCACCAGCCCACACACAGCCCCCGGGAGGGAGGAGAGACUCUCAGUUGAGCUCCUGGAGCUGCAAGCCUACAGGGAGGGUGAGCAGCCAAAGAGUACAACACCACCAAAUAGGAUGGAGUUAUUGGGUAAUGUUGUGUGGGCUCGGCUUCUGAUUGUAGAUUACAGAAGAAAGAGCUCAGAACACAAAACAUGAUCUCUCUGGUCAAGGUUUACCAACUUUGUGACUCAUUUAUAUGGAUGUUUUUUGGCAAAUUCCCUUCUGAAUCUGAAUUAGUAUUUGACAUGCUAAAAGCCACGAACGAUGUCAGACAGUCCUACUCUAUCUGAUGCCGGCCUUUUAAUCCUGUAAUUGAACACUGUAAAAAAAAACACAG